CAACUGCUGACAAUGGAUCUCUGGGCUCUUGCGUCGAUGAAGAACGCAGCAAAACGCGAAAAGUGUUAUGAUGUGCAGUCUUUGAGAAUCAUGAAUGUUUGAACGCACCUUGCACCACCGAGCGAUUGGGGGUAUGCCUGUUUGAGCGGGGGAU
rnacentral:rRNA from 1 species